rnacentral:rRNA from 1 species
AUUGAACGCUGGCGGCGUGCUUAACACAUGCAAGUCGAGCGGUAACAGGCGUAGCAAUACGUGCUGACGAGCGGCGAACGGGUGAGUAAUGCUUCGGAAUCUGCCCAGUAGUGGGGAAUAACCUGGGGAAACUCAGGCUAAUACCGCAUACGAACUACGGUUGAAAGCAGGGGAUCGCAAGACCUUGCGCUAUUGGAUGA